UAAAAGGUAAGCUAACUAAGCUAACGGGCUCAUAACCCGUCUAUGAAUUUUUCCCUUUUAU
rnacentral:tRNA from 1 species